GACGAACGCUGGCGGCGUGCUUAACACAUGCAAGUCGAACGGAAAGGCCCUGCUUUUGUGGGGUGCUCGAGUGGCGAACGGGUGAGUAACACGUGAGUAACCUGCCCUUGACUUUGGGAUAACUUCAGGAAACUGGGGCUAAUACCGGAUAGGAGCUCCUGCUGCAUGGUGGGGGUUGGAAAGUUUCGGCGGUUGGGGAUGGACUCGCGGCUUAUCAGCUUGUUGGUGGGGUAGUGGCUUACCAAGGCUUUGACGGGUAGCCGGCCUGAGAGGGUGACCGGCCACAUUAGGACUGAGAUACGGCCCAGACUCCUACGGGAGGCAGCAGUGGGGAAUAUUGCACAAUGGGCGGAAGCCUGAUGCAGCAACGCCGCGUGCGGGAUGACGGCCUUCGGGUUGUAAACCGCUUUCGCCUGUGACGAAGCGUGAGUGACGGUAAUGGGUAAAGAAGCACCGGCUAACUACGUA
rnacentral:rRNA from 1 species